UACGUAGGGUGCGAGCGUUAAUCGGAAUUACUGGGCGUAAAGUGUGCGCAGGUGGCCGCGCAAGUCGAGUGUGAAAUCCCCGAGCUUAACUUGGGAAUUGCGCUCGAAACUACGUGGCUCGAGUGUGGCAGAGGAAGGUGGAAUUCCACGUGUAGCGGUGAAAUGCGUAGAGAUGUGGAGGAACACCGAUGGCGAAGGCAGCCUUCUAAAAUGGAUCCGACGGUGAGGGAUGAAAGCUAGGGGAGCGAUCCGG
rnacentral:rRNA from 1 species